GCCGGGGCGGCGUGCCUAAUAAUGCAAGUCGAGCGAGCUUGCCUAGAUGAUUUUAGUGCUUGCACUAAAUGAAACUAGAUACAAGCGAGCGGCGGACGGGUGAGUAACACGUGGGUAACCUGCCCAAGAGACUGGGAUAACACCUGGAAACAGAUGCUAAUACCGGAUAACAACACUAGACGCAUGUCUAGAGUUUGAAAGAUGGUUCUGCUAUCACUCUUGGAUGGACCUGCGGUGCAUUAGCUAGUUGGUAAGGUAAUGGCUUACCAAGGCGAUGAUGCAUAGCCGAGUUGAGAGACUGAUCGGCCACAUUGGGACUGAGACACGGCCCAAACUCCUACGGGAGGCAGCAGUAGGGAAUCUUCCACAAUGGACGAAAGUCUGAUGGAGCAACGCCGCGUGAGUGAAGAAGGGUUUCGGCUCGUAAAGCUCUGUUGGUAGUGAAGAAAGAUAGAGGUAGUAACUGGCCUUUAUUUGACGGUAAUUACUUAGAAAGUCACGGCUAACUACGUGCCAGCAGCCGCGGUAAUACGUAGGUGGCAAGCGUUGUCCGGAUUUAUUGGGCGUAAAGCGAGUGCAGGCGGUUCAAUAAGUCUGAUGUGAAAGCCUUCGGCUCAACCGGAGAAUUGCAUCAGAAACUGUUGAACUUGAGUGCAGAAGAGGAGAGUGGAACUCCAUGUGUAGCGGUGGAAUGCGUAGAUAUAUGGAAGAACACCAGUGGCGAAGGCGGCUCUCUGGUCUGCAACUGACGCUGAGGCUCGAAAGCAUGGGUAGCGAACAGGAUUAGAUACCCUGGGUAGUCCAUGCCGUAAACGAUGAGUGCUAAGUGUUGGGAGGUUUCCGCCUCUCAGUGCUGCAGCUAACGCAUUAAGCACUCCGCCUGGGGGAGUACGACCGCAGGUUGAAACUCAAAGGAAUUGACGGGGGCCCGCACAAGCGGUGGGAGCAUGUGGUUUAAUUCGAAGCAACGCGGAAGAACC
rnacentral:rRNA from 1 species